rnacentral:rRNA from 1 species
GACAGAGGGUGCAAACGUUGUUCGGAAUUACUGGGCGUAAAGCGCGCGCAGGCGGUCCUUUAAGUCUGAUGUGAAAUCUUGCGGCUCAACCGCAAGCGGUCAUUGGAAACUGGGGGACUUGAGUACAGAAGAGGAAAGCGGAAUUCCACGUGUAGCGGUGAAAUGCGUAGAGAUGUGGAGGAACACCAGUGGCGAAGGCGGCUUUCUGGUCUGUAACUGACGCUGAGGCGCGAAAGCGUGGGGAGCAAACAGG